rnacentral:rRNA from 1 species
AACACAUGCAAGUCGAACGGGCGUAGCAAUACGUCAGUGGCAGACGGGUGGGUAACACGUGAGAGCGUACCUCUUGGUUCGGAACAACACAGGGAAACUUGUGCUAAUACCGGAUAAGCCCUUACGGGGAAAGAUUUAUCGCCGAGAGAUCGGCCCGCGUCUGAUUAGCUAGUUGGUAGGGUAAUGGCCUACCAAGGCGACGAUCAGUAGCUGGUCUGAGAGGAUGAUCAGCCACAUUGGGACUGAGACACGGCCCAAACUCCUACGGGAGGCAGCAGUGGGGAAUAUUGGACAAUGGGGGCAACCCUGAUCCAGCCAUGCCGCGUGAGUGAUGAAGGCCCUAGGGUUGUAAAGCUCUUUUGUGCGGGAAGAUAAUGACGGUACCGCAAGAAUAAGCCCCGGCUGACUUCGUGCCAGCAGCCGCGGUAAUUC